UACGUAGGGGGCUAGCGUUGUUCGGAAUUACUGGGCGUAAAGCGAACGUAGGCGGUGCUCCAUGUCAGAGGUGAAAGCCUGGGGCUCAACUCCAGAAUUGCCUUUGAAACGGGGACGCUUGAGUCCGAGAGAGGAUGGCGGAAUUCCUAGUGUAGAGGUGAAAUUCGUAGAUAUUAGGAAGAACACCGGUGGCGAAGGCGGCCAUCUGGCACGGUACUGACGCUCAGGUUCGAAAGCGUGGGGAGCAAACAGG
rnacentral:rRNA from 1 species